rnacentral:lncRNA from 1 species
AAUAACUUCUUUCUCUCUUAAUUCUCUCUCAAUUAUGUGUGUAUGUUCUUGCUUUAAUUAAGUUCCAACACAAUGAACCCUAUCAAAAUCACUAAUUCUUCAAUCGAUUUUCCAUCUUCUUCAUCUCUAUUUUCGUGUUCCAUAUCCGAGCAUUGUGUUCUUGUUGCAGUUGAAGAAGAACACGAAUUUAGCUCUCAAGAAUAGUUCGAAUUUGCGUGCACAAGGAGGAGAAGAAGAAAUAUUUUGAAUUUGCGGAUCUGAAGGAGAAGAUUGUUAGAUCCAGGU